GGUUCCAUAGUGUAGUGGUUAGCACAUCUGCUUUACACGUAGAAAGUCUUGGGUUCACGCCCCAGUGGAGCCG
rfam:Pteropus alecto contig99666, whole genome shotgun sequence.